rnacentral:rRNA from 1 species
AUAGCGUAUAUUAAAGUUGUUGCAGUUAAAAAGCUCGUAGUUGAAUUUUGGGCCUGGCUGGGUGGUCUUGCCGAAAGGUUAGUACUGCUCGGGCUGGGCCUUUCCUUCUGGGGAACUAGUGUGCUCUUAAUUGGGUGCGUUAGGGAACCAGAACUUUUACUUUGAAAAAAUUAGAGUGUUUAAAGCAGGCCUACGCUUGAAUACAUUAGCAUGGAAUAAUAGAAUAGGACUUUGGUUCUAUUUUGUUGGUUUCUAGGACCGAAGUAAUGAUUAAUAGGGAUAGUUGGGGGCAUUAGUAUUUAAUUGUCAGAGGUGAAAUUCUUGGAUUUAUGAAAGACUAACUUCUG